UCCGUAGGUGGAUAAUUAAGUCAGAGGUGAAAUCCUGCAGCUCAACUGUAGAAUUGCCUUUGAUACUGGUUAUCUUGAGUCAUUAUGAAGUGGUUAGAAUGUAUAGUGUAGCGGUGAAAUGCAUAGAUAUUACACAGAAUACCGAUUGCGAAGGCAGAUCACUAAUAAUAUACUGACACUGAUGGACGAAAGCGUGGGGAGCGAACAGGAUUAGAUACCCUGGUAGUCC
rnacentral:rRNA from 1 species